UCUGUGCUGUGCUUGUGAUGUGACCUUGGGGAGUGAUCGGCUCUCCCAAAGGGACAGCAGGAGGGAUCCACACGAAUGUGAAGACUCCGAGGUGUCCUCAGUAUCUCCUCCACUUCACCCCACAAUCAGCCCACCUGCUCAGCCAGCCUCAUGCCCUGGCCCAGGCUGCAUCAGCCAACUCCAGGUCCCCACUCUGCUCUUCCCUCACACCCGGGCUGCUCUCUGCACCUCCGGCCCCAAGUCAUGGCCUAAUGCUCACAGGCCCUGAGGCCCAGGGCUGGGGUGGAACUGUGCCAGGUCCCUGUGUGGAGACCGUCCUGAGGCUCACUGGGCCUCCCGGUCAGCUCCACUGGGGCUGCAGGAAUCUAAGCCCCUUCCUCUGUUCUCUCACUGCAAGUUUCCUCUGCACACUAAGGCCUCUUUGGCAAGCCACCUACUUCUCAUUUAUCUGUCCCCACCCACGGGAACAGAAGGCCACAAAGCAAGGAGCAGGUCUGCUGCAUGCACUGUGGUGUCCUCAGGGCCUGGUGCAGUUGGGCCUCAACUAGCACCUGUGGGGUGGGUGGAUGCUCCCUGUUCCUUUGCUAAGGGUAGUCAUUCACAUGCCUUCUGCCAGCAGGUCCCGACCAGCUCUGCUGGUCUCUCCUUACAGAGCUUGACAGGCCUUUCCCAGGAUGGGGCCCAAUGCUUCUCCCCAGCCUGUUUCCCCAAUUCCUGUCCCCUUCUGAACAAACAGCCACAGCAGAUCAAGUCUCACUGGAGCCUCCCCUCUGCUGCUUCCCAAGGUCCCAAGGCCCUGGAUUUCCCCAUCCUGCCUUGGGAGCCUGCCUUCCACGCAAACUCUGCCCUCAUCCAUCUGCACCUAGGCCUCCAGCCUGUGCCUCUGACUCCUUCUCACUGUGGCCACUGGGCCUUCCUGAAAGGCCCAUCUGGUGACAUCUCUCUGCAGCUGAAGCAUGCCCCAGGCAUGGCUCUCCAGUGCUGCCAUCCCACCUGGUGCACUCUGUACUGUGGUGCUGGAGUGGCCCGCAUCCUGCCAAGCGCCUCCCACUGCACUGCCUUCCACCCAGUAGCUAGGGUUCCUUAUCCUUCCACUCCUGAGUGUGUUCUCUGACAGCGCCAUUGUGGCCCAGGGCCUCCCAGGCCCUGCACCCCUCGACUCCCACAGCCUAACUGACUUGCAGUUACUGUCUGGCACCAAAUGCUGCUGACGCCAUGGUCAAGCUGGGGUCUCUGGGGCCAGCUAGGUGGCUGAGUGCCCUGUGCAAGUCACAGUAGACCCUGCCUCCGUGUGAGGUUGAGGGAGAAGGAGAGCAUCGCCCUUUCAAAUUGCACAGACGCCGGACAAAACCUGACCAGCCAAGACACACCGCACAUCUUCAGAGAAUAUUCUCUAGGAUGACGGCUUCUCCUUGGCACCACCACGUGCCCUGGGAGAGCGGAGCAGGUCUGUGUCCCUUCCGAGCCACCUGUCCAGGGCUGGCCAGCACCUCAUGGCUUCCUUCCUUCUCUCACUCCCUCCACAGACAUCUGCUGAGUCCCACCUGGCCUAGGCUCCUGAGUACAAGAGUGAGUAAGAUAGACAAGCUUCCUGUCCUCGGCAGCUGAGGGAAUAGACACAGAGAACAUCAUCCCGUGUGAGUCACAGAGACAGACUUCUCAACGGAGAAACAGAACAUGUCAAAGGCCUGGGGCAGGAAAGAGGCUGGCUGCCAAGCGUGAAGAAUGGAGGAGGCUACGAAGCUAGAGAACCCUGGGGACAGGGGCCGAGGUGUGUGGCCAACCCUGGAAGGUCAUAGGCUAUGGGGAGGAGUUGCUGGGUCUGUGUCCCACGAGAUGACUGUGGCAUUUGAAACAGGGUCACAAAAAAAAGAAAAAAGAAAGAAAAAGAAACAGGGACACAAUCCAACAUGGCGUAAAGGCUCCUUCCGGCCACCUGGGAACAGGUGAGUAAGGGGCCCGGAGAGGACAUGGGGCCUGGAAGGCCGUCCUUUCACCUCUUC